rnacentral:rRNA from 1 species
GAUGAACGCUGGCGGCGUGCCUAAUACAUGCAAGUCGAGCGAUCAGAUAAGGAGCUUGCUCCUUUGACGUUAGCGGCGGACGGGUGAGUAACACGUGGGUAACCUACCUAUAAGACUGGAAUAACUCCGGGAAACCGGGGCUAAUGCCGGAUAACAUUUAGAACCGCAUGGUUCUAAAGUGAAAGAUGGUUUUGCUAUCACUUAUAGAUGGACCCGCGCCGUAUUAGCUAGUUGGUAAGGUAACGGCUUACCAAGGCAACGAUUCGUAGCCGACCUGAGAGGGGGGUUGGGCAAAAAGGAAACUGGAAAAGGUUCAGGACACUAAGGGAAGGAAGAGGAGGGGAAUCUUCGGAAAGGGGGGAAGGCUUGAGGAGCAACGCCGCGUGAGUGAUGAAGGUCUUCGGAGCGUAAAACUCUGUUAUUAGGGAAGAACAAAUGUGUAAGUAACUGUGCACGUCUUGACGGUACCUAAUCAGAAAGCCACGGCUAACUACGUG